rnacentral:rRNA from 1 species
UCCUGGCUCAGAUUGAACGCUGGCGGCAUGCUUUACACAUGCAAGUCGAACGGCAGCACGGGGGCAACCCUGGUGGCGAGUGGCGAACGGGUGAGUAAUGCAUCGGAACGUGCCCAGUAGUGGGGGAUAACACAUCGAAAGAUGUGCUAAUACCGCAUACGCACUACGGUGGAAAGCGGGGGAUCGUAAGACCUCGCGCUAUUGGAGCGGCCGAUGUCCGAUUAGCUAGUUGGUGGGGUAAUGGCCCACCAAGGCAACGAUCGGUAGCUGGUCUGAGAGGAUGAUCAGCCACACUGGGACUGAGACACGGCCCAGACUCCUACGGGAGGCAGCAGUGGGGAAUUUUGGACAAUGGGCGCAAGCCUGAUCCAGCCAUGCCGCGUGAGUGAAGAAGGCCUUCGGGUUGUAAAGCUCUUUCGGCCGGAACGAAAUCGUCCGGGCUAAUACCCCGGAUGGAUGACGGUACCGGAAGAAGAAGCACCGGCUAACUACGUGCCAGCAGCCGCGGUAAUUC